rfam:Vigna radiata var. radiata cultivar VC1973A chromosome 4, whole genome shotgun sequence
GUAUCUGCGGGUGCAGCAACAUCAAGAUUCACACCUCCAAAGGACUUCACAAGUGCACAUGUUCAUACAUAUACAUACUAUGUGUUGGCUAUGGAAGUUCCAAUAAAUAAGUGAGAAUCUUGAUGAUGCUGCACCGGCAAAUAA